rnacentral:rRNA from 3 species
AAACGACUCUCGGCAACGGAUAUCUCGGCUCUCGCAUCGAUGAAGAACGUAGCGAAAUGCGAUACUUGGUGUGAAUUGCAGAAUCCCGUGAACCAUCGAGUCUUUGAACGCAAGUUGCGCCCCAAGCCUUUAGGCCGAGGGCACGUCUGCCUGGGUGUCACGCAA